AUUGAACGCUGGCGGCAUGCUUUACACAUGCAAGUCGAACGGUAACAGGCCUUCGGGUGCUGACGAGUGGCGAACGGGUGAGUAAUGCAUCGGAACGUGCCCAGAGGUGGGGGAUAACGCAGCGAAAGCUGUGCUAAUACCGCAUGUGAUCUGAGGAUGAAAGCGGGGGACCAAGCAGCAAUGUUUGGCCUCGCGCCUCUGGAGCGGCCGAUGUCAGAUUAGGUAGUUGGUGGGGUAAAGGCCUACCAAGCCGACGAUCUGUAGCUGGUCUGAGAGGACGACCAGCCACACUGGGACUGAGACACGGCCCAGACUCCUACGGGAGGCAGCAGUGGGGAAUUUUGGACAAUGGGCGCAAGCCUGAUCCAGCAAUGCCGCGUGAGGGAAGAAGGCCUUCGGGUUGUAAACCGCUUUUGUACGGAACGAAAAGGCUCUGGCUAAUACCUGGGGCUGAUGACGGUACCGUAAGAAUAAGCACCGGCUAACUACGUG
rnacentral:rRNA from 1 species